ACUCGCGGCAGCUGUCCAGGUCGCGCCGCCACUGCUCGCAGGCCGGCCGCUCGCCGUGGACGUAAUAGUGGCGCAGGAAGUGGCCGGCGCUGCUGCAGAGCUCCCACUCGGCGCGGUAGGCCUCGCACGGGCGCGGCGGCUGCGGGGACGGGGGAGUGAGCUGGGGACCCGGUGAGCGCCAGCCCGUCCCGCACGGACGGACCCGAUCUCCGUCCUCCCGACCUGGCCCCGCGGGUCCCCGGGUCCCACCGCACUUACCUGCCAGCCUCCACCUUCCGCCAUGUCCCGGGACUGCCUAACCCGCCUCCUGAGCCCGCGGACCGCCGCGUGACUGAUGGGCGGACGGACUAAUGAGCCCCGAGAUCUCACCACUAACUCCUCGCCCCGCUCCUUGAGACGCGCCACUGAACAGGACGUCCGGGUUGGCAGCCAAUAACAGUCGAGGGAGGGCGGGGCCUGGAGGCCUGUGUGGGCGGGGCCUGGAGGCUGCGGCGGAGCCGAGGCCGGUGUGGGCCGGGCAUGCCCCCAGGGUCACCAGGCCCGGCUAGCCGUGUGGCGGAGGUAACUUGGGCGUCCCCUCGAGCCGGCGGGCGCCCGGCUGCACAUUCACGUCCAGUGGCCGUUUCUGACGGAACCACUCGGCUCGGGCAGGUUCUUUCCAGCAGCUUUAUUUUCAUAAUCUCAAAGAUCGGUUCAUUUCGUCAGCACGCACCGGAAUCAGUGUCGCCACUCCAGUCCUACGGCUGCAUUUGUCGCGCCUGUGUCCCCUCGAGGGCGGGGUGACUCCCAGAGACUGUCCUUCUCCAGAGAAAGCGACGAAUCUGCCUCCAGCUUCAUCCUGAGUGUGAAGAGAAAAUACCAUUUUCAGAAACUCCUUGGAAGUUUAAUAAGAAAUGCUUUAUUCUGUUGACUCAUGUACCAUCUGCCCAUUUUCCUUACUCCCACAUUCAUAAUAAGAAAUGUCUUUGAAAUAGAAAUGCAAGUUAUAAUCUACUGAAUUGAAAACAAAACCAUGGAAUCACAA